UUAGUCUACUACGUGUUCUUCCCAAUAAGCUAUCUUUAUUUCUGCCAUAACCACAUGUGUGAUUAGCAUUUCAUGCUUUUCAGGCAUUUCUUCAGUGCUUUCUAAAAAUUGACUGUAGCUGAGGUGUUCUCUAUUGACUGGAAUGCUAUUUCUUUUUUACAAGUCUGAGACAUUUCUACAGAUUUAUGUUAAGUUUUUUAAAGCUCUGCACAGCUCUCACUAUCAUCUCUAGCAACCCAAAAGUUUCCCAACAGUAUUUUAUUACAUCUGUUAAAAUUAGGCCUGUGUAACUUUAAUUUAUACUCCCAGCCAUAGUAAAACCUGCUUUAUGAGCACUAGAAUUAUAAAUGCUUUCACUUCUUAAUCACACUAGUCUCAAAUAGAAAAAUAACAUAUUUUGAUCCAUGAAGAUCUGCAUAAAAUGUGGGCUUGCCCACUGUUUGCUUUACAAAGCAAGAGUAUCUUAGCUAUUCUUCCACUAAACUUUCCAGAGGCAAAGAAAAUUUUGCUGGUACACUCAGUAAGUACUGAUAUGACUUUAAACAUAUUUGCAUUAACUACUGUGCCUGAAAAUGGUGUAGUAGUCGUUGAAUGUUGUUUAAUGCAAGUGGCUGAGGAUACACUGAUGAAACUUUCAUUUUUAAUCACUUAAGGACCAGCAGAAGAAUGAGCGUGGUGCUCUGCAUCAUGCUGCCAGUGGUCACAUCAUGAGUCCACAUGUUCACAACACAGAUGCAUCUGCUGUAGUUGUUUCAUAGGCUCAUCUGACACUCGUACUGCUGAAGUCAGGAGAAAGACUGCAAAGCACGAAAGCUCAUGUACAUGUUAGAAAGUAGUGUUCAGCGAUGGAAUUAAACAUGAAUGCACACCCCACCCCACCCCCCCCUUAACUUGGGUUGUUAUCACUUAGGAGAAAGAAAAAUAUACUAGAUUAGAAUAGAAUAAUUUCAAUUGGAAGGGACUUACAAUGAUCAUCUAGUCCAACCACUUCAGGGCUGACCCAGAUUUAAAGGAUGUUGUUAAGGGAUUGUCCAAAUGUCUCUUCAAUAUUGGCAGGCAUGGGGCAUCAACCACCUCUCAAGAAAGCCUGUUGCAGAGUUUGGCCUCCCUGUUGGUAAAGAAAUACUUUCUCAUGUCUGAUCUAAAAAAGCAAUCAUAUUUACUAACUACUCUACAGUCUUUGUGUUCUCACAGGCAGGCAGGUGACUGGCAAUGAAGAUGCCAGCUGAAUGCUCAAAUCCAUUUGUCUUGAUGCAGUAUAUGCUAAGCAAAGAGGUCAGACUCCAGUGCAGCUUAAAAAACAAACCAAAGCAAACGCUCAAAAAAUAUUUUUCUGCUCUUCUUUGAACCCCUAAUCAACCACCCAAGAGAAGGGCUGUGGCUAUGCCAGCGUCCCGUGCUAAAAUCACAAUAAAGCUUUACAAGGACAAGUGGCUGAUAUGCUGCAAGAUAUAUGGGGUUGGUUGUUUGUUUGCUUGCAUGUUUGUUUUACAGUAGGUCACCCUCAGCUUCUUAAUCUGCAGCAUUUCACUGAUUCCAGACAGUGAUCAUCAGAAAAAAAAAAGUCCUGGGAGAUUUAAUUCUGUUUUUAACCAUCAGAAUUUAGACAAGUCGAGGUGGGAAGGGACCUCUGCAUAUCAUCUGGCCCUGCAUUCUCACUUGCAGAUGUGCAUAUGAACUGAUUUUGGCAGAAGUCCAGCUGUGGAGAGGAUCCCUGUUACAGUGAAGCAGGAAUUUGAAUAAAGGAAAAUGUGCUUUGUUAUACAGGAGAAGAGGAGAUCCAGAGCCCUGAGCUGUCCUUGCUACUUUCUUGCUUCCAGGUGUUGUGCAGGAACAUGGGCAGAUCCCUCCAUCCGUGACUAAAAGACAUCUUUGCAGGACACAGCAUUCUCAAUACCUCAGGAUCUGCAGUGCUGCCUUUUUUGUAACACGCUGUAUGCCAUUAUAACUUCUGAUAAUAAGAGGCUCAGAAUUUACCUACUGACACAUAAAAUUGUAGGCAUUUUAUACAAUCUAGAUGAAACUUUAAAUACCACUGAGUAUUCUUAUUUGCUGUUGAAACAGAGGCUUUGUUGAGCUCUGAGUGGGAUUUCUUUCUAACAGGUCUCAGCAAGACAAUAAGGCAGUGCACUUUCCCCCUCCAAACCGAGUUAAAACAGCAAGAAAUCACUGACUCAGGUUUAGUGCUUCUGGUCCUUUCCUACAGGUUCAGCAAGGACUAUAAAUACAUUUACAAGGUGCAUGCUAUAGAAACAGUAGGCAAAAAUGUUUAUUUAAAGUAUUUCUUUAUUAGGGGUACAAGCUCUGAAUACCUCAGAAUACCUGGCUCUAUCUUGGCUUUUCAAAAUACGUGUUGAACACGCACAACUACUAGAAAAAGCAAUGUUGAAUUCAGGCGUAGCUUAACAGAAAGGCUGUUAAGACAGGGACUGAGGCACAGCCACUUCUGACUUUCAACUUUGUUUUUACUUCAAAUUUUGCCUUCAAAACCCAGAUAACCCAGGCAGCAGAACACGUGAACAUUCCUGUGAGGUCUGAGUGCUGUACAAACACGUACUCUGUCACAAGCCAUGACCACAGUGUUUUGUCCCGCCUCAGGGAAGAGCAGAUUGCCAGCCAGCAGUGCAAUCUCAGAGAUAAAUACUGCUAAUUCUAUUCUGUAGGUUUCAGUGGUGAAACCUAUAGCAAUGAAAUUUUCUAUUUAGCAACAAAAGCCUCUUGGAAAUCACCAAGAUGUGUCAUUAGCCAGUGUGGCUUGCCCUCCAGGGAAGCCCCAGCACAGGGAGAGAUUUGGCAUAUGCUUCUCUACACACAAGGAGCAACAAGGUGACAAUACAGAGCUGGACCUAGGGUCUAGGACAUGCUUACUGACAUGGUGCUGUCCUCACUGUCAAAAGCACUUCACACCCACCUUUGUAACUAGGCCUGUGCUAAUCAUCUGAAUCCAUUUAGUAGGUUGUUCAGUACCUAAUUUCUGAAGGCAGUUUAGGCAAAAUCCUCCUAUUGAAACUCGUAAGAGUGGGGGAAAGAUUGGCUUGAAAGAAUUGUAUUGAUUGUGACAUGACAAUCAGCAACAGAAGUACAGUAAACAGAUGCUAAGGUCUUCAAGAUUAGGUCACUGAGGUCUGUAUAUCCACCAAAACAUACCAAAUAUUUCCAUUUCAUUAGGCGUUUAGUAUUUUUAACAUCUUGUCAGAUUAGCUCCUGAGCUGAUACCCAGCCUAAUGAUAUGAAAUUAAACUUUAUAUAUUUAGAAAAGUAUAUUUUUCACUUAUAUGACUACAAGCCACUUUGCAGUCUCCUUAGGGGAAACCUAUGAGGAUUAAGAAAAUUAAGUUAUUAGAGCAGCCAAAACCUAGACAUUUUCAAAAUAAUAUGAGGUGUGUUUCAUAGAUCCACAGGGUGGAGAACAUUAAUCUUUUGCUGCCAUUCCUUUAAAAAGGAUCAGCCUUCCCUGCGAGCCCCAAACACUUCACAUAGCUGUUACAUUCCCUAGCCAGACUCCGAACUUGCACAUGUGGUGGUGUGGAUACUCCUCCCUGUUCUCCAGGGCUCACAGACCUUGGAUCAAGGUCCUUAACCUCUCUGUAUUAUGUCCAACAUCCCAUUAUAAUAAAACACCAUUGUAAAGAA